CAGCAAGAACAAGACGAACAAAGAAGGAGAAAAUACCUAAUAAUUGUUAACAGUUAUUAUUAUUUUCUUUCUUUCUUUUGUUCUCUACAUUUUCAGUCACAGAAGUAAAAUGGCAGGAAAGAUAAAUGUUGCAAUUCUGUUGAUGUGCUUUAUAGUUCUUGUUGUGGCAGUGCAGCUCAUCCAAGCUCAUGGUGAUGAAGGUACCGACGUUUACAAAGUAUGCUUCAUGAAGUGCUUUGAUUUUUGGAAGGCAACAGGCCUUGCCAACACACACUGUGAAAUCAAAUGCGACCAACUGUGCAGUCAUGUUGAAAAAUACGGCAAAUACGUGGAAAACUUCCCCAAUUUGAAGCCUUAAUUUGUGAUCAAGAAAUAAUUCUGCGCCAUUUGACCAAUCUAAAGAAUAAUCCUAAAUUGUACUGUAAUAAAUGUAGUAUGAAUUAUUCUUUUAUCUUAUCAUUCAUAAUUAUCUUCCUGUUGUGAUAUUAUAAACGAUUAUAUGAAUAUAUUUUAAUUUAUAUAUUCGUUCUUAAGUA